AUAAUAAGUUAAAAAGGCUACUGAAAAUAGCAUAAUAGCACCCAUUAUCCAUCCUGUUCUUUUAAAAGUAUAAGGAAGGCCAAGAACUCCAGCUCCAACUAUAGCUAUAAAUACAUUGGCAAAAGUUUUGGAUGGUGAAGAAAGGUGUUGAUUUUUGGCUAAAAGGGGUGUAUCUUCUCUUGGGAUUUGUAAAACAUGAGAGGAUGAACUUGCUUUAUUAUUUUUGUCAAACCCCAUUUGGUAUAAUCUUUAAAUUCUUAAUCAAGAAUCACAACUUCUCUUGGGAUUUGUAAAACAUGGGAGGAUGAACUUGCUUUAUUAUUUUUCUCAAACCCCAUUUGGGAAAAUCUUAAUCAAGAAUCACAAUAUAAGGCAAAAAUCAGAUAAAGAUCAAAACUUUAUUUCAAGAUUACCUCAAAUUUGAGUGAAAAUAGUGAAUAUGUGUUUUUGUUUUGUUUUGGGAAAGGGGAAAAAGCUUUGAACUUUGCUUAUGGUUUUUGCCUUUAAAAUCAAGAAUCUCAGUACAAGUGCAACAAUCAGAUAAAGAUAAAAAAAUAAAUUCAAGAAUACCUCAAAUUUGACUGAAAAUAGUGAAUAUAUGUUUUUUUUUGGAAGAGGGAAAAAAGUUUUGAAUUUUGCUUAUGGAUUUUGCCUCUGGUAAAUUAAUCGAGAAUCUCGAUACAAGUGCAAAAACCAGAGAAAAAUCAAAACUUUUUUUAUCAAGAUUACCUCAAAUUUGGGUGAAAAUAGUGAAUAUGUGUUUUUUGAAAAGGGGAAAAAGUUUUGAAAUUUGUUUAUGGUUGUUGCCUCUGCUAAAUUAAUCAGGAACCUCAAUUCAAGGGCAAAAACCAGAGAAAAAUCAAAACUCCAAUAUCAAAAUUCAAUCAAUUAGUGAAUAGUAUGUGUUUUUUGGAAAGGGGAAAAAGCUUUGAAUUUUGAUUAUGGUUUUGCUUCUGCCAGGAUUCAGGAGUUUAGAAAGAGAUAUAACGGUGUCAAAUCUUAAAAUGGCUUUAGGUAAAACUUCCAAAAAGGACAAAACAUGAAAGUGACAAUUAAGCAAUAUUUAUAUUUGAAUAAUAUGAAGUUUACAGUUCGUACACGUCUCUUUUUUG
rnacentral:lncRNA from 1 species